AUUGCUUCUUGGCCUUUUGGCUAAGAUUAUGUGUAGUAUCUGUUCUCAUCAGUUCACUAAACUUUGAAAAAAUAAAUAAAUGAAUGAAUCUUGGCAAAAUCAGGAAAUUUGUUUUAAACUAUGCUUUGCUAAUCAUCUUCUUCCUCUGGGCAACCUCU
rnacentral:snRNA from 1 species